rnacentral:rRNA from 1 species
GAAUCUUGGGCAAUGGGCGCAAGCCUGACCCAGCCAUGCCGCGUGUGUGAAGAAGGCCUUCGGGUUGUAAAGCACUUUCAGUAGCGAAGAAAAGCCGGGGGCUAAUACCGCCCGGUCCUGACGUUAACUACCGAAGAAGUACCGGCCAACUCCGUGCCCGCAGCCGCGGUCAUACGGAGGGUACGAACGUUAAUCGGAUUUACUGGGCGUAAAGCGCGCGUAGGCGGUCUGUUAAGUGGGGUGUGAAAUCCCCGGGCUCAACCCGGGAACUGCGCUCCAAACUGACGGGCUAGAGUAUGGUAGAGGGAGGUAGAAUUUCCUGUGUAGCGGUGAAAUGCGUAGAUAUAGGAAGGAAUACCGAUGGCGAAGGCAGCCUCCUGGACCAAUACUGACGCUGAGGUGCGAAAGCGUGGGGAGCAAACAGG